AAAAUGCGAGACGUAACGUGAAUUGCAGGACUUUGUGAACGUUAAUUCUUCGAACGCACAUUGCGGCUUCGGGUUAACUGAAGCCAUGCCUGGUUGAGGGUCAGUUGAAAUAAAAAAUCGUAAUCGYGCAUUGAUUACGGAUUGUCUGGUUUUAACGGCCUUGUGUGCCGUUUCCGGAUAAAGUUGAGACCAGAUGUGUGCGCUCAUUUGACCGGUGCAAGCAACGCUUUGCCGAGUUGGAGCAUCCGACUUGUUUAGUCGUGCGCCGCAGCUGCACAAUGGCUAAGCAUGGUCAACCAACGGCGUUUGAUGGCAAAGAAAGACUGGUACAAAAGUGCGCAAGCGCAUAGACACGUCUGUGGCCGAAAAAGAACGCACCCAAGUGUGUUUUUGCUCAUUCUUUUGACCUCAGCUCAGACAAGAUUACCCGCUGAACUUAA
rnacentral:rRNA from 1 species